rnacentral:rRNA from 1 species
GAUGAACGCUAGCUACAGGCUUAACACAUGCAAGUCGCGGGGCAGCAUGGAUGUCCUUUCGGGGACAUCUGAUGGCGACCGGCGCACGGGUGAGUAACACGUAUGCAACCUGCCCCUGUCAGGGGGACAACCCGCCGAAAGGCGGGCUAAACCCGCGUACAUGCCACCGGGGCAUCCCGGAGGCAGGAAAGGCUUCGGCCGGACAGGGAUGGGCAUGCGGCGCAUUAGGCAGUAGGCGGGGUAACGGCCCACCUAACCGACGAUGCGUAGGGGUUCUGAGAGGAAGGUCCCCCACACUGGUACUGAGACACGGACCAG